GACGAACGCUGGCGGCGUGCUUAACACAUGCAAGUCGAGCGGUAAGGCCCUUCGGGGUACACGAGCGGCGAACGGGUGAGUAACACGUGGGUGACCUGCCUCUAGCUCUGGGAUAAGCCUGGGAAACUGGGUCUAAUACCGGAUAUGACUCCACGGCGCAUGUUGUGGGGUGGAAAGCCUUGUGUGGCUAGAGAUGGGCCCGCGGCCUAUCAGCUUGUUGGUGGGGUGAUGGCCUACCAAGGCGACGACGGGUAGCCGGCCUGAGAGGCGACCGGCCACACUGGGACUGAGACACGGCCCAGACUCCUACGGGAGGCAGCAGGUGGGGAAUCGUUGCGCGAAUGGGCGAAAGCCUGACCGCAGCGACGCCGCGUGAGGGAUGACGGCCUU
rnacentral:rRNA from 1 species